GACGAACGCUGGCGGCGUGCUUAACACAUGCAAGUCGAACGGAAAGGCCCUGCUUUUGUGGGGUGCUCGAGUGGCGAACGGGUGAGUAACACGUGAGUAACCUGCCCUUGACUUUGGGAUAACUUCAGGAAACUGGGGCUAAUACCGGAUAGGAGCUCCUGCUGCAUGGUGGGGGUUGGAAAGUUUCGGCGGUUGGGGAUGGACUCGCGGCUUAUCAGCUUGUUGGUGGGGUAGUGGCUUACCAAGGCUUUGACGGGUAGCCGGCCUGAGAGGGUGACCGGCCCCCUUGGGCCUGAGAUACGGCCCAGUCUCCUACGGGAGGCAGCAGUGGGGAAUAUUGCACAAUGGGCGGACGCCUGAUGCAGCAACGCCGCGUGCGGGAUGACGGCCUUCGGGUUGUAAACCGCUUUCGCCUGUGACGAAGCGUGAGUGACGGUACUGGGUAAAGAAGCACCGGCUAACUACGUG
rnacentral:rRNA from 1 species